rnacentral:piRNA from 1 species
UGCCUAGCACCAAAAAUGAAACUCCUUUG